rnacentral:lncRNA from 1 species
UAGGGUUGGAGUUAGGGUUAGUGUUGGACCUAGGGUUAGGGUUGGGCUUGGAGCUAGGAUUUUUCUGAGUGCAAUGAACCAACUCCCGAGUCUCUAGGACGUUCCUAAACAAAUUUGAUUUUUUCCCAUAGGAAUGCAUGGGUUAGGGUUAGGGUUAGGGUUGGAGCUAGGGUUAGGGUUAGGGUUAGGGUUGGAGUUAGGGUUAGUGUUGGAGCUAGGGUUAGGGUUGGGCUUGGAGCUAGGAUUUUUCUGAGUGCAAUGAACCAACUCCCGAGUCUCUAGGACGUUCCUAAAAAAUUUGAUUUUUUCCCAUAGGAAUGCAUGGGUUAGGGUUAGGGUUAGGGUUGGAGCUAGGGUUAGGGUUAGGGUUAGGGUUGGAGUUAAGGUUAGUGUUGGAGCUAGGGUUAGGGUUGGGCUUGGAGCUAGGAUUUUUCUGAGUGCAAUGAACCAACUCCCGAGUCUCUAGGACGUUCCUAAAAAAAAUUGAUUUUUUCCCAUAGGAAUGCAUGGGUUAGGGUUAUGGUUAGGGUUAGGGUUGGAGCUAGGGUUAGGGUUAGGGUUAGGGUUGGAGUUAGGGUUAGUGUUGGAGCUAGGGUUAGGGUUGGGCUUGGAGCUAGGAUUUUUCUGAGUGCAAUGAACCAACCCCCGAGUCUCUAGGACGUUCCUAAAAAAAUUUGAUUUUUUCCCAUAGGAAUGCAUGGGUUAGGGUUAUGGUUAGGGUUAGGGUUGGAGCUAGG